ACUAUACCCUCCCAAAGUCAUGACAUUUCUUUCUUUUCUAACCCAAGAUAUUUAAUUUGUGUUGUCUGUGUCCUUAGGGGGUGUGAAACCAUCGACUGGAGCAAGGUGGACCUCCCUGGGACCUCACUCUUAAAGAACACUGAUUUUUUCCUACCCUAAUGACACGAACUGACAGUGGUUCCUCAUGCUGAGCCAGAAUAUUCAGCUAUGUUAAAACAUCUGCACUUACCAGGAGCCGUAGGUGACCAAAUAAACCCAAACUUGAUGAUUAGAUUCCAGAGCUGAAGACACCACACUCUUGGUCACAGGACUUGAAUAAAUCAAGCUGGUACUGGCCAGGAAGCUUCCUCCCUGAUGACUAGCUCUCAUAGAGGAGAUAGUCAUCAGAAGUUUGACAUAACUGUGGAUCUUGUGAGCUACAAUAGCAUGAUGUGCUCAGGGGCACAAGAGUGCUAUAAAUAUUACUGGGGUGACAAACUUGUUUCUGAUUUAAUUCAAGGCCUGCUCCACAGGAAAGAAUUUGUGACUGAAACUAUGAACCUAGACAGCAAUCUAUAGUAUGGAGCUCACAGACUCCAACUUACACAGACCUGGUGCUCACAGAAACCAAGAGUUGCUGUCUAUUCCUGGUAGCUGGAGUUACAGGGAGUUGUGGGUGUUGGAAUCUGAACUCCAGACCUCCUCAAGUACAGAACAACUGACAAGUGACAAGUAUCCCCAAGGCUUUGUAAGAGCUGACUGGAUUCCUGUGGAAAUGUUAGAUUUGAGGAAAUUUAAGGAAGUGAUAGUCUCAUAUGGUAUGCAUUCACCUUUUGUGGAGCAGAUGUUAAAUUCAUGGUCAACUAGUAACAGAAUUGUCCCACAAGACUUGAGAGACUUGCUUACAACACUUUUGGAAUCUGGUCCUCAUUUAGAGUGGAAGACCUGGUGGAAAGAUGAAGCUACGACCAUGAAUAAGAAUGAAGCAGGGCUAGAGGUAUUGAAAUCACCGAAGACCAACUUCUUGGAAAGGGAGAUGAUGCUGAUGUACAAAGAUAGUCUCGAUAGGAUGACCACACCUGGGCUUUGUGCUGUGCAAAGCUUUCUAUGCUUGAGACUGAAUUGAAGAAGUUGAAAAGAGAACCGAGUCAUUUACUGAAGUUAUACAAGGCCCAGAAGAAACCUUCCCUGAUUUUUUAUAGAGAUUGACUUUAGCUGUAAAUAGAAUGAUUCCAAAUUCAAAAGCUAGACAAAUAAUAAUUGAAUCUUUGGCUUUUGAAAAUGCUAAUUCCCAAUGCAAAAGGGUAAUUAGGCAUUUAAUGGAAAGAUCAGCACCCAUAGAGGGAUGGAUCCAAGAUACAGUCAAUAUUGAAUCUCAUCACCAUGGUGAUUCUUGUUUAGGAGAUGUGAUUUCCAGAGGCUUGAAGAAAAAUCAAAAUGUCAAGUGUUUUAAUUGUGGCAAACAAGGGCCCCUAGAAAGGUGUUGUAGACAGGGCAUUCCUAGAAACAAUGUUUUUGCUAGGAAUACUCCAAACAAAAGGGCCCUCCCUUCUGGAGUAUGCAAAAGAUGUGGCAAAGGCAGACAUUGGACCAAUGAGUGCAGAUCAACAAGGGACAGAAAGGGUAACCCUUUGCCAUCAGAAAACACCUUGGGGGGCCUCUCACAGACCCUCAUGUUAAAUUUGGUUUAGUCAUUCACUGUGAGGGAAACUCUGCCACAGAGCAAUUAAGAGACCUUAUGCUUAUUGUAAAAAAACAUGAAUGACAGAACAGCUUUUAGAAGAUGAAACAAAAAUUUUGGAGAAACCAGAGCAAGAGACCUCUUAAUUAGAAAAGGUGACAGUUCAUCAACCAGCACGACCAUUCAAUCUAAAUUAAUUUAUGGUUAAACUAACUGACAAAUGCUUUUCAUUUGAUCAGAUAUACCUUGCCCAAACGCAAACUCCCCAAGUUAUGGUUGGGGCAAGGUUUUGUUUUUGUCUUUCCAGGAGAAUGAAGGCAUCCAGCUAAGGAUUGUGAAGACUACUGGACAAAUGAGACAUCUGAAGAAAAAGGACAAAUCAUCCAGAGAAAAUGUCCCAAGAAAAAGACGAUCUCUGAAGUCUCUGAAAAGAUGAUGGGGCCCCACAUUGAUCAUUCUACCUGGACUACGGUAACACCCCUAAGCUGACAAAUACCACCAAAAGAUUGGAUUUUGGACUACAAAUUACUCAGGAGCAUUUAAAGGUGGUUAGCUGAGAUGAUCCAGCCUCACAGACUACUUUAGCCAGGACUUGAGACAAGCCCUGCACUUUUUCAUUAUAUAGAGACUAGGUAACAUAUGAUAUAGCUAUCUCUUUCAGGACUUGACAAGUAUCCCAAUUUUUUUCAGGGUUCCAUAAAGAUGCUGUCUUCCCCAGACAGCAGGAAGUAAUUUUAAGAAUACAACACCCAUAUUCUCAAGAGGUGGGCAGUUUUCAGUUAAUUAAUGUGUUAUGGAUAUUUGUCACCAUUUAGGGUGGUUAGUUACAAGUUGUUAUUAGUAAUGGUCAAAAAAAAAGCUAGACAAAGGCAAUUAUAUUCAGGAAUUUUGUUCUAAAAAGAAGUGGGAUAUAGAAAUAGAAUAAAAAGGUAGAUUAUUGAAUCUACUUUUAGACCAGAAAAGCAACUACUAGUUUUAAAUAUUUUGCAUUAACUUGGAUUUCUGUAUAUUGAUACAAAGUUGAGGUUAUUUUUGUUUUACUGUAUAUAUGUUAUAGAAAUGAUAGGGGGAAAAAAGUAGAUUAUUGAAUCUACUUUUAAACCAAAACAGGCAAUUACCAGUUUUAAAUAUUUUACAUUGCUAUGAAUUUCUGUAUAUUGAUAAAAUUUAAGGUUAUUUUUGUUAGAGCAUACUGUACAUAUGUUCCUACACUUGUUCAAAGUAUUGUAGCUAUACAGCUCAUCUAACAAAGUAAUGUCAAUUUCUAGUCCCUGAAAGACAUUAUUACAAGCUAUUUAAGAUAAUAAGGAAAUGCAGGUUAGUAGUUACUCACUUAUUACAAUCAAACUUGUAGUCAUAUUAGGUAUUUUUUUCAAGGUCAACCAGAGAUAUAUUUUAUAUAGGCAGAUGGUCUUCAAACACUUCAGAGAUCUAAAGAAUAUGGCAUUUAAGAUAAUUUAAUAACAUAAGGUUCUUUUUUUUUUAUGACAAUGAGGCAUGUCUGUUCCUGACAGCACCAAUCUACUUCAGAGAAGAUGAUGGGUAUCAAAGAAACUCCAUGUGGAGUUUACUUUCUUUGUGGCAAAAGUUAGCCACUGCACAAGAAGCUGCCAUUGCCUCGACUGCUGACAGUGUGCUGUCCAAAGCGGACAUGCAGGACACAAAAGAAAGUGACUGCAGAACAUUGUCAAGAAAAGGUGGGACAGUCCUUUGUCCUGAUUCACAGAGGAUAUUCUAGGCCUGCAGGCCAAAGGUGGAUGCCCCAACAUUACAGAGGAACUUUAAGUGAUUGUACAGGCAAACAGAAGUUUCUAUCAUUUCUUAUUGUUGGAAGUUGUUUGCUCUACACUUCCUGUUUACUCAGGUAAUAAUGUAUCCUUCUCAAAUUUCUGAUGGAGUUGAACACUAGAUGGCUAUAGUUUUCCUUUUUAACAAACUCAGAAAAGAAACACACAAAGGAGAUGUAAAGUGCAUAAGGUUGAGAGACAUAAAAAUGUAGUUUUGGGUUGAUAAUGCAAGUUAAGAUAGAAAGUGAAUUAGGUACAACACUUUGGACUCACCAAGAUAGGAUAGAUAAUGGAGUAUUUUCUCUGAAUUUGUCAAAUGUUAAUGAACUAGACAUUGUUAAUAUAAUUAUUGACUGUAUAUAUUUGUAUAUAGUUAUUAUACAUAUUGUAUAUAGUUUUAUGUUAGUUAAAACCUUCGCUUUUUGUUUAGACAAAAAGGGGGUAAUGAUGUAUGAUAUUGUGUUUGUGUUCUGACAAUUAAAGCUUCCCUGGAAAUCAGAUGGCAGAGUUAGCCACUAGAUAACCAUAGACACAAGGCAGUGGUGGCACAUACCUUUAAUCCUAGCACUUGGGAGGAAGAAGGAUCAGAAGUUCAAGGCCACCCUGCGAAACAUGAUAUUGAUCUAGUCUAAAUGAGAAACAGAGUGGUAAUGCAUGCCUUUAAUCCCAACAUUAAGAAAGUAGAGACAUGCCAGGCAGUGGUGGCACACGACUUUAAUCCUAGCAAUGAGGAAGCAGAGGCAGACGAAUCUCUGUGAGUUCGAGGGCCAGCCUGGUCUACAAAGCGAGUUCCAGGAAAGGCACAAAGCUACACAAAGAAAUCCUGUCUCAAAAAACCAAAAAAAUAAAAAACAAAAACAAAAAAAAAAAGUAGUAGAGAUAGGAAUCUUCAUAGAGACAGGACCCUGGCCAUUAAGUCUGAGAUUUUGUAGAGCUAAGAAGUCUUUGGUGGCUGGCUACUCUGCUUCUCUGAUCAUUCAGCUUUCACCCUCAAUAUCUGACUCCUGGUUUUUAUUGAUUAAGACUAAUUAGAGCCCCACUUCACCCCUGGAGCUGGAAUUACAGGCAGUUGUGCAUAGCCAUAUGUUGGUUCUAGAAAUGCCCCUGGGUCCAAGCAAGGGCUGACUGUGAGCAAGUGAGAUUCCUUCACAGUUUCUGCUUCAGUUAUUGCCUUAGAUUUCUGCCUUGACUUCCUUCAUGAUGAACUGUGAACAGGAAAUGUAAUCCAAACAAAACCUUUCUCCUCCAAAUUGCUUUUGGUCAUUGUACUUUUUUAAUUGUUUAUUUUUUUCUCUUUUGUCUUGUUUAAAGUUGAUAUUUUAUUGUAAUUACAACAUGUCUCCUUCUAUUCUCUCCCCUCCCCUCCCUUCUCUCCUUCAAGUUCAUGGCCUUGUUUUUCAUCAAAUGUUAUUACAUGCACAUAUGUAUUUGCAAUUACACAUAUAUUCCUAAAUAUAACCUGUUGAGUCUGUAUAAUAUUACUUAUAUCUAUGCCUUCAUGGCAGACUAUUUAGCUCUGGACAACCAAUUACCAUUCUCUUGCCUGGGGAAGGCCACCUCUCCUGUUCCUAGCUUUACUUAGUUGACUAUUGUUCUUUGUGUAAGGUUGAGGCCUUGUGCAGUUUUUCCUUAUCCAGUUUGGCACACUUGCUGGUGUUAUUCUUGUUCAUCUCAUGGUUGGGCAGUCAUGUAGUUGAGAAUUGUCAGGUAUAGUUUCUGAUCCUUUUUAGGCAACAUAAUCUCACAGGAAAUACCCUGAACUUCUGGCUUUUACAAUCUUUCCACUCACUCAUCCACAAUGUUUCCCUGAGUAUUAGGCACAGGAUGUUUUAUAGAUGUAUCCAUUUGGAAUAGGCUCCAUAAUGCUUUAUUUUUGUUUGUUUGUCUGUUUAUAACAAUUAAUUCCUAAAUGCCAGACAACAGGAACAACAAGAUAUCCUUCAAGUGAUGAAUUAACAAGAAAGAAAACUAUAGUGCUACUGUUAUAAAUAGAACGUUAUGCCACAAUAAAAACAAGUGAUAUGUGGAGAUAUCAAAAUAUCUGGGUGAAUUUUAAAUUUAUAUCACCAACUAAAGACAGCCAGCUACCAUUUCACACAUACCAUUGUUUGAAAGGCAAAAAUAUUGGACUGAUAAAGCAUCAUUGAUUAAUAGGAAUUUGGGGAAGGGUAAAACCUGAAUAGGUAAAACAGAGAAGCUGUGAACAGCAAUUAUGUUAUCCCAGAUGCCAAAUCUCUCUCCUAUUCCUAGGCGCUGAGCCAUUUCCUCAUCCCCUGAAAGUGAUUUCAAUAAAACAAUUACACAUCUUUUAAUAUAUUACCAGUUUAUUCUACAAAUAAAGACAAAUGAAGAUGCAAAACAAAUGUGUUUAAAUAUUUAAUUUUCCUCUCACAGUGUCAAGGUUUAGAUAAUGAAUUUUUAUGGCAUGCUGACUUUUAUGACUAUUUAACUUCAAUAUAUAUAAGCAGGUUUAGUAAAUGGUAGCUGUGAUCUGUUCUCAGAUUAAAUUGGAGGAAUAAAUAAAGCAUUACUCUUGGUUAUGGAAUAUCCAUGUUUUCAUUUUACAUAAUGAUGACAAAGUAAAAUGAAGCAACUAUUUCUUAUUUGUCAUGAUAAUUAGACAUAGAAAUAGCAACUGUUCAUAAAGGAGUGGUGAUCAUUCACUGAUACAGUAGAAAUUCUUUCCUCAGGAAUUUCAAAUAACAAUGAUUCAGAAACUGAAAGUGUUUUUUUUUUAUAUUUUGAUACUGGGAGGAUAUGAACAGGGGUAUCUCCCCAGCUCUCUGCCCAUAUAAUUAUGUUCAAAUAGUGAAUUUCCGGUUCAGUAACAGACACUGAAAGAACUAAUGUUCUGAGGGCAAUAGAGAAAGACACCUGUUGUCUCUUUCUCUCUUGCCUCAUCAUGCAUGUACACAUGUGUGUAUACAAACCUCAAACUCAAAUGUAUACAUACACCAGCCCACAUAAACAAAAAUCCCACACCAAAUUUUUAAAUAGGAAAAAAAAUCCUUUGUUAGUUAAGUCCAUCAAAUCAGUCUUACUUUCCCCUCCAAAGGUUAGAUAUCUUUUGAAAUUUCAUAAAAUGUUAACAUAUUAUCUCAGUAAUGGUUCUCAAGCCUCUGGUUUUAAAUUUCAAGGUCCAUAAGGAAGGUCAACACUUUUCCUUAAGCUUGCUAGUUGGACAGUGAAUUGUUAGUGUAUAAUAUUUCUUUUGCAAUUAUUUUUUUCAUUUAUUUUGCCCCCAACUCCAUCCAAAUCCUCCACUUCUCUCCCCACCAAACUCAUGUUUCUUCCAAAAAUAAGAAACACUUUGUGAAUUUGUGGGCCAUCUUCUGUGUCAUUCCACAUUUAUUAUAUAUGCUGCUGGGAUGAGCAUGCCCAAUAUAUCUUAUUUAUCUUUUGCAUGCUUUCUUAUUGGACAUCUUAAUACAUUAAAGAAAAAAAGGUGGAGGAAUUCAUUAAGAGUUCUUAUUAUUGCCACCAUAUUUAUAGCAUGGUUGUACAUGGGAAAACUAUUCAAAGAGGACAUUUCAUUGUUCUUGAGAGUAAAUAAUAAAAAGAGGUAAAGACAUGUACUGAAAAAAAAAGAAGUUGUCAAGCUACAAAAUCUUAAAAUGUUAUUUAUUGAGGAAGCUGAUAUUUUUAUGUCCUAAAAAUAGAGACAUUUUAAAAGAAGAACAAUGGUUCAUUUUACAGUUGUUAAGGGUGAUAUAGAAAGUUUUGGGCUGGGAUGAUGGAUAACAACACUUGCUGCUCAAGCAUGAGGCCUUCAGUUCAAGUCCCAGCAUCCACACAUAAACUCAGCACUGUGUUGGUGGAGACAGGAGGGUCAAUGGGGCUUCUGAUAGUCAGAGCAGCUCCAGAUUCAAGGAGAGACUUUGACUUAAAGGGAUAAAGCCAAGAGUUAUCAAUCAGAACAACCCUACUAACUUCCUCUUUUGCCCUCUAGGUGUAUUCACACACAACACAACAUUCACACACAUAAACAUUCACAAUAAAACAAACCAAUAAAAAAGAAGGCAGCCAAUGGUGAAAAGAGGCUCCUUGAAUCCCAUCUGCAGGUGUGUUGUUAAGGGAAGAGCUUAUGAAAUAGUACAUGUGGAUGUCCAGGGGAACUCUGUCUAUACAUCACUCUGAAAUUUGUCUUUUUUUUUUU